UUUUGGACAAUGGGCGAAAGCCUGAUCCAGCAAUGCCGCGUGCAGGAUGAAGGCCUUCGGGUUGUAAACUGCUUUUGUACGGAACGAAAAGCUUUGGGUUAAUACCCUGGAGUAAUGACGGUACCGUAAGAAUAAGAACCGGAUACCGACGUGCCAGCAGCAGCGGAAAAACGUAGGGUGCAAGCGUUAAUCGGAAUUACUGGGCGUAAAGCGUUCUCAUGCGGUUUUGUAAGACAGAGGUGAAAUCCCCGGGCUCAACCUGGGAACUGCCUUUGUGACUGCAAGGCUAGAGUACGGCAGAGGGGGGUGGAAUUCCGCGUGUAGCAGUGAAAUGCGUAGAUAUGCGGAGGAACACCGAUGGCGAAGGCAACCCCCUGGGCCUGUACUGACGCUCAUGCACGAAAGCGUGGGGAGCAAACA
rnacentral:rRNA from 1 species